CACCCGCUGCUCACAAGCGUGAGCCACUGCACCCGGCACAAUUAUUUGAAACUUCUAAAUGCAUACUCUGAAAGGCAUUUUUUUUUAAAGAGCCAACAUUUUCCCUGCAUUGAACUUCAGAGUCAAAAUAUUCAAGAAGUCAACAUUGGAGGAGAAAAGGGACAGGAUCUACAUAUUCUGCAUCACCAGAACCCGUGGUCUGCAUAUGUGGCCAACAUUAGUGCCAUUCACUGAUGGUUCUGAUUUUCUUCCUUCUGGGUAAUUCCCCUCUGUCUUGAAGAUGAGCAUGGUCAUAGGACUUGACUUGGUCAAUGAAACAUGAGCAGAAGGGAUGCAUGUCACUUCCAUGUAGAGAAGCCUUGCAGAGCUCCUGUGCAAUUUCCUAAGUCCUUCUCCCUGCUGUGGUGAACAGAGACGCUCUUGACAAUUGUGACUUUAUCAUCCUCGGCCCUUGAGGGGGGAUGGUGGGUGCUGGAGCUCUCCCACCAACCUGAGUUUGAUGUGGAGCAGGAGGCAGAGCUAUUCUUCUGUGGUUUUAGGGCCACUGAGAUUUUAGGGUUGUUUAUUGCAUAACCACCCCCAACCAUUUAAUCUUUACCUUGGCCAUAGGUGGCAUUCAUUAUUAUUAUCAUUUAUCACCAUGGAAAUAGACUUCACAGAGGACAAGCAAUUUGUCAAAUGUCACAUAGCUACUAAGUGGCAGAACUGAAAAUUCAAACCCAAUUCCAGCUUAUUGCAUGACCUGAGCUCUUCACUUGAUCUUCGCCAAAAGGCCGAGAAGUGAUGGCCUGAGCUCUUAAACAUAAGCCUGCCAACUUCUCAGGAAUUAUCAAAUAUGUUACAGUCCACAGGGGCAAAAACAUGCUCAUAAGAGCUACACCAGGCUUGUUCAAAACCAGGGAACCAUUUACAUCCUUUCAAAAUCAUGUGACAUGGCAGUGAUCCAGAGAGAUCAUCAGAUCUCUAGGUAUAUAGUUUCCUUUGACUGCCAGCACAUGCAAUAAAUUAACUAUUAAAACCCA